CCGAGUUUACAACUCCCAAACCCCUGUGAACAUACCACUUGUUGCCUCAGCGGAUCAGCCCGCUCCCGGUAAAACGGGACGGCCCGCCAGAGGACCCCUAAACUCUGUUUCUAUAUGUAACUUCUGAGUAAAACCAUAAAUAAAUCA
rnacentral:misc_RNA from 1 species